GAUGAACGCUGGCGGCGUGCCUAAUACAUGCAAGUCGAGCGAACAGACGAGGAGCUUGCUCCUCUGACGUUAGCCGCGGACGGGUGAGUAACACGUGGAUAACCUACCUAUAAGACUGGGAUAACUUCGGGAAACCGGAGCUAAUACCGGAUAAUAUAUUGAACCGCAUGGUUCAAUAGUGAAAGACGGUUUUGCUGUCACUUAUAGAUGGAUCCGCGCCGCAUUAGCUAGUUGGUAAGGUAACGGCUUACCAAGGCGACGAUGCGUAGCCGACCUGAGAGGGUGAUCGGCCACACUGGAACUGAGACACGGUCCAGACUCCUACGGGAGGCAGCAGUAGGGAAUCUUCCGCAAUGGGCGAAAGCCUGACGGAGCAACGCCGCGUGAGUGAUGAAGGUCUUCGGAUCGUAAAACUCUGUUAUUAGGGAAGAACAAAUGUGUAAGUAACUAUGCACGUCUUGACGGUACCUAAUCAGAAAGCCACGGCUAACUACGUG
rnacentral:rRNA from 1 species